GWCAUAGUACGGCGAGUGAAGCGGGAAAAGCUCAAAUUUAAAAUCUGGCAAUCUUUGGUUGUCCGAAUUGUAAUCUMGAGAAGCGUUUUCCGUGCUGGACUGUGUGCAAGUUUCCUGGAUACGGAACAUCAUAGAGGGUGAGAAUCCCGUCCUUCACACAGACUGCCAGUGCUUUGUGAUGCGCUCUCGACGAGUCGAGUUGUUUGGGAUUGCAGCUCAAAAUGGGAGGUAAAUUCCUUCUAAAGCUAAAUAUUGGCGAGAGACCGAUAGCGAACAAGUACCGUGAGGGAAAGAUGAAAAGCACUUUGGAAAGAGAGUUAAACAGUACGUGAAAUUGUUAAAAGGGAAACGCUUGAAGUCAGUCAUGUUUGCUUGGACUCAACCUAACCUCGGUUUGGUGCAUUUCCUUGCAGACGGGCCAGCGUUCAUGUUGUUUGCCAGAGAAGGAGCGAGAGAAUGUGACUCCUUUGGGAGUGUUAUAGCUCUCACUCGCAUGUGGGGAACAAUAUGGAGUGGUACAGCACGCUUUGUYGGUGCUUGUGCUGGCAUAAUGGCUUUAAACGACCCGUCUUGAACMMC
rnacentral:rRNA from 1 species